rnacentral:rRNA from 1 species
UACGUAGGGCGCAAGCGUUGUCCGGAAUUAUUGGGCGUAAAGAGCUCGUAGGCGGCUUGUCACGUCGGGUGUGAAAGCCCGGGGCUUAACCCCGGGUCUGCAUUCGAUACGGGCUAGCUAGAGUGUGGUAGGGGAGAUCGGAAUUCCUGGUGUAGCGGUGAAAUGCGCAGAUAUCAGGAGGAACACCGAUGGCGAAGGCGGAUCUCUGGGCCAUUACUGACGCUGAGGAGCGAAAGCGUGGGGAGCGAACAGG